CAAGAGUAGAGGUUAGUGGAAUUUGCGUGACUGCAUCGGAUUGUACCAAUCCGGGGUACGUGUGCCAAGAUGGCGUCUGUAAAAUAGGAGCAAUCGCUUGCGCCGCAUCCACCGAAAAUGGAAUUGUCUGGCCAGAGGCACCUGAUGGACAUAUAUCUCGUAAUAAAUCAUGUCAAGAGGGAUACCAAGGCGAUAUUUAUCGUCGUUGUGAGAAUGGCAUUUAUCUGAACCCCGUUAACAAUUGUACAAAGAGGGCCAUACAGGAUUUGCACGCUCAGGU